rnacentral:rRNA from 1 species
AUUGAACGCUGGCGGCAGGCCUAACACAUGCAAGUCGAACGGUAACAGGAAGAAGCUUGCUUCUUUGCUGACGAGUGGCGGACGGGUGAGUAAUGUCUGGGAAACUGCCUGAUGGAGGGGGAUAACUACUGGAAACGGUAGCUAAUACCGCAUAACGUCGCAAGACAAAGAGGGGGACCUUCGGGCCUCUUGCCAUCGGAUGUGCCCAGAUGGGAUUAGCUAGUAGGUGGGGUAACGGCUCACCUAGGCGACGAUCCCUAGCUGGUCUGAGAGGAUGACCAGCCACACUGGAACUGAGACACGGUCCAGACUCCUACGGGAGGCAGCAGUGGGGAAUAUUGCACAAUGGGCGCAAGCCUGAUGCAGCCAUGCCGCGUGUAUGAAGAAGGCCUUCGGGUUGUAAAGUACUUUCAGCGGGGAGGAAGGGAGUAAAGUUAAUACCUUUACUCAUUGACGUUACCCGCAGAAGAAGCACCGGCUAACUCCGUGCCAGCCGCCGCCGUAA